GAGUUUGAUUCUGGCUCAGGAUGAACGCUAGCGAUAGGCUUAACACAUGCAAGUCGAGGGGCAGCGAGGGUAGCAAUACCUGUCGGCGACCGGCGCACGGGUGAGUAACGCGUAUGUAACCUGCCCGCAACAGGGGGAUAACCCGGCGAAAGUCGGACUAAUACCGCAUAAAACAGGGGUCCCGCAUGGGAGUAUUUGUUAAAGAUUUAUCGGUUGCGGAUGGGCAUGCGUACCAUUAGGUAGUUGGUGAGGUAACGGCUCACCAAGCCUUCGAUGGUUAGGGGUUCUGAGAGGAAGGUCCCCCACACUGGUACUGAGACACGGACCAGACUCCUACGGGAGGCAGCAGUGAGGAAUAUUGGUCAAUGGGCGAGAGCCUGAACCAGCCAAGUCGCGUGAAGGAUGACUGCCCUAUGGGUUGUAAACUUCUUUUACAAGGGAAUAAAAUGAGAUACGUGUAUUUUAU
rnacentral:rRNA from 1 species